UGAAUACGAGAUGCUACGGCGUCGAAGCAGUGUAUGUCAGACUUCCAAGAAAAGCUCGCAAUGUCAUAAAUAAAGAAUGCCUGUACCAUAACCGACACAGGUGGGUAGGUAGAGUAUACUAAGGGGCGCGAGAUAACUCUCUCUAAGGAACUCGGCAAAAUAACUCCGUAACUUCGGGAGAAGGAGUGCCUUCUUUAAGAAGGUUGCAAUAACAAGAUCCAAGCAACUGUUUAUCAAAAACACAGGUCUCCGCUAAGUCGUAAGACGAUGUAUGGGGGCUGACGCCUGCCCAGUGCCAGAAGGUUAAAGAAGUUGGUUAGCUUUUGCGAAGCUGAUGACUGAAGCCCUGGUGAACGGCGGCCGUAACUAUAACGGUCCUAAGGUAGCGAAAUUCCUUGUCGGGUAAGUUCCGACCCGCACGAAAGGCGUAAUGAUUUGGAUACUGUCUCGGAGAGGGACUCGGUGAAAUAGACUUGUCUGUGAAGAUGCGGACUACCUGCACCAGGACAGAAAGACCCUAUGAAGCUUUACUGUAACUUGAAAUUGAAAUUGGACUUUAUUUGCGCAGUAUAGGUGGAAGGCGUUGAAAGUAAUCUUGCGGGAUUAGUGGAGCCAUCAGUGGGAUACCACUCCUAUAAUGUUAGAUUUCUAACUUUGGAUCAUGAUCUGGUCAAAGAACAGUUUCAGGCGGGCAGUUUGACUGGGGCGGUCGCCUCCCAAAUGGUAACGGAGGCGUACAAAGGUUUCCUCUGAACGGGUAGAAAUCGUAUCUAGAGUGUAAAGGCAUAAGGAAGCUUGACUGUGAGACCUACAAGUCGAGCAGGGACGAAAGUCGGUCUUAGUGAUCUGACGGUGCUGAGUGGAAAGGCCGUCACUCAACGGAUAAAAGUUACUCUAGGAUAACAGGCUGAUCUCCCCCAAGAGUUCACAUCGACGGGGAGGUUUGGCACCUCGAUGUCGGCUCAUCGCAUCCUGGGGCGGUAGUACGUCCCAAGGGUUGGGCUGUUCGCCCAUGAAAGCGGUACGCGAGCUGGGUUCAGAACGUCGUGAGACAGUUCGGUCCAUAUCCGGUGUAGGCGUUAGAAUAUUGAGAGGAGCCUUCUUUAGUACGAGAGGACCGAGAAGGACAUACCUCUGGUGUACCAGUUAUCGUGCCAACGGUAAACGCUGGGUAGCUAUGUAUGGAGAGGAUAACCGCUGAAAGCAUCUAAGUGGGAAGCCCACCUCAAGAUGAGUAUUCUC
rnacentral:rRNA from 1 species